GACAGAGGUGCCGAGCGUUAGGCGGAAUCACUGGGCUUAAAGCGUGUGUAGGCGGACUUCUAAGUACCUUGUGAAAUCCCACGGCUCAACCGUGGAACUGCUUGGUAUACUGGUCGUCUUGAGCCACCUAGGGGCAACCGGAACAAACGGUGGAGCGGUGAAAUGCGUUGAUAUCAUCAGGAACACCGGAGGCGAAGGCGGCCCACUGGGUCUUUUCUGACGCUGAGGGACGAAAGCUAGGGGAGCGAACGGG
rnacentral:rRNA from 1 species